CAAAGUGGAGGGAAAAACCCCAAACUCCUCCGACGCUUCUGAAGGAGAAAUGCCCAGGAGACGACUUAUGCUCAACUCCUAUUCCGAUGAAGACGAAGAUCAAGAAAAUCAACUACAAGAGCAAGACCAUGAGAAUGGAGUUCAUUCCCAGCACAAGCCUGCUGCCAAUCAUCUGCCCUCAAACCCUAACCCUAACCUCCCGGAACCAGUCCCUAUCUCAGACGACGACGAUUUCGUUGACGUCUCCGACAAUCUCACUCCUCCCUCCCCUCCACUGGAUCCGAUCCCUAAUCACUCGCCGCAACAAUCGCC
rnacentral:misc_RNA from 1 species